GGAUAUGGCUCAGUGGUAGAGCAUGUGACUAGCAUAUGUGUGGCCCUGGUUUUAGUCCUCAGCA
rnacentral:miRNA from 1 species